GAUGAACGCUGGCGGCGUGCCUAAUACAUGCAAGUCGAGCGAACGGACGAGAAGCUUGCUUCUCUGAUGUUAGCGGCGGACGGGUGAGUAACACGUGGAUAACCUACCUAUAAGACUGGGAUAACUUCGGGAAACCGGAGCUAAUACCGGAUAAUAUUUUGAACCGCAUGGUUCAAAAGUGAAAGACGGUCUUGCUGUCACUUAUAGAUGGAUCCGCGCUGCAUUAGCUAGUUGGUAAGGUAACGGCUUACCAAGGCAACGAUGCAUAGCCGACCUGAGAGGGUGAUCGGCCACACUGGAACUGAGACACGGUCCAGACUCCUACGGGAGGCAGCAGUAGGGAAUCUUCCGCAAUGGGCGAAAGCCUGACGGAGCAACGCCGCGUGAGUGAUGAAGGUCUUCGGAUCGUAAAACUCUGUUAUUAGGGAAGAACAUAUGUGUAAGUAACUGUGCACAUCUUGACGGUACCUAAUCAGAAAGCCACGGCUAACUACGUGCCAGCAGCCGCGGUAAUACGUAGGUGGCAAGCGUUAUCCGGAAUUAUUGGGCGUAAAGCGCGCGUAGCGGUUUUUUAAGUCUGAUGUGAAAGCCCACGGCUCAACCGUGGAGGGUCAUUGGAAACUGGAAAACUUGAGUGCAGAAGAGGAAAGUGGAAUUCCAUGUGUGGCGGUGAAAUGCGCAGAGAUAUGGAGGAACACCAGUGGCGAAGGCGACUUUCUGGUCUGUAACUGACGCUGAUGUGCGAAAGCGUGGGGAUCAAACAGGAUUAGAUACCCUGGUAGUCCACGCCGUAAACGAUGAGUGCUAAGUGUUAGGGGGUUUCCGCCCCUUAGUGCUGCAGCUAACGCAUUAAGCACUCCGCCUGGGGAGUACGACCGCAAGGUUGAAACUCAAAGGAAUUGACGGGGACCCGCACAAGCGGUGGAGCAUGUGGUUUAAUUCGAAGCAACGCGAAGAACCUUACCAAAUCUUGACAUCCUUUGACAACUCUAGAGAUAGAGCCUUCCCCUUCGGGGGACAAAGUGACAGGUGGUGCAUGGUUGUCGUCAGCUCGUGUCGUGAGAUGUUGGGUUAAGUCCCGCAACGAGCGCAACCCUUAAGCUUAGUUGCCAUCAUUAAGUUGGGCACUCUAAGUUGACUGCCGGUGACAAACCGGAGGAAGGUGGAGAUGACGUCAAAUCAUCAUGCCCCUUAUGAUUUGGGCUACACACGUGCUACAAUGGACAAUACAAAGGGCAGCGAAACCGCGAGGUCAAGCAAAUCCCAUAAAGUUGUUCUCAGUUCGGAUUGUAGUCUGCAACUCGACUACAUGAAGCUGGAAUCGCUAGUAAUCGUAGAUCAGCAUGCUACGGUGAAUACGUUCCCGGGUCU
rnacentral:rRNA from 1 species